rnacentral:rRNA from 1 species
UUGGUCAAGCUAUAAAGAGCGCAGGUGGAUGCCUUGGCACUAAGAGCCGAUGAAAGACGUGAUAAGCUGCGAUAAGCUUCGGGGAGGAGCAAAUAUCCUUUGAUCCGGAGAUCUCUGAAUGGGGAAACCCGGCUGAGCAAACCUCAGUCGUCGUAUGGUGAAUUCAUAGCCAUACGUCGGGAACCGC